CCUACGGGUGACAGCAGUGAGGAAUAUUGGUCAAUGGGCGCGAGCCUGAACCAGCCAAGUCGCGUGAGGGAAGACGGCCCUACGGGUUGUAAACCUCUUUUGCCGGGGAGCAACGGGCGCCACGUGUGGCCCCACUGAGAGUACCCGGAGAAAAAGCAUCGGCUAACUCCGUGCCAGCAGCCGCGGUAAUACGGAGGAUGCGAGCGUUAUCCGGAUUUAUUGGGUUUAAAGGGUGCGUAGGCGGUCCGGAAAGUCAGCGGUAAAAGCCCGGGGCUCAACCCCGGCGAGCCGUUGAAACUGGCGGACUAGAGAGGGCGAGAAGUACGCGGAAUGCGCGGUGUAGCGGUGAAAUGCAUAGAUAUCGCGCAGAACUCCGAUUGCGAAGGCAGCGUACCGGCGCCGGACUGACGCUGAGGCACGAAAGCGUGGGUAUCGAACAGGAUUAGAUACCCCAGUAGUC
rnacentral:rRNA from 1 species